ensembl:lncRNA
GGGUGGGGUAGGAGGGUUGCGGGAGUGGCUGUCUGUGCGGUGUCUGCCUUGCCUUUGAUCCCUGCAGUUAAGGAGCUAAAGUAGAGAAAUGGCUUUGCUGUGGAUUGCAUUGUCGUGUCAUUUUCGUGUCCUGAUACCGCAUAAACGAUCACCUGAUCAACAGAUCGAUUGGAAACAGGAGGAGAUGGUAACCUGGAAAUCGAUUUAUUUGUUGUAGAAACUGAGUUUCUGAAUGAUAGAAGGGCUAAGGAUUUACCGUGGGUAAAAUGAUCUUGGAUGCACACCUUCCCAGUACUGCAACAGAGUAGAAGUUUAUCUUCCUUGUCUUAUUUUCCAAAAAGACAGAUGAUUUCUAUAUUCAUUAUAGAGGCUUGAAAGUUCUGCUAAGAGGAUCUGAGGCCACAUAAAAGAGAAUCAGCAUCUUGGGAAAUGUCCAUUACUAAUACAGCUUAUCAACUUUGGAGUAUACAGACAAUACUUUCUUGCCAUGAGAACCACAGAAUGUUAUCCAAAAGCACUUAUCUGACUGUUAAGAGGAAUGUGUUGUUUAUUUAGGACCCAAUCUGACUUAAGUCACACAAAUAUUAUAGCCAUCCAUAGUGAUGGACACUUGUAUUCUGUAAUUCAGAAGUCUAGAUGUGAGGCAGGAGGACUAUAAUGUUAAAACCAGGCUAGGAUAUGUAGCAAGACAUUGACUCAACAAAUAAACAAGUGUCUAUGUGUGUGUGCAUACAAAAUAUUUAAUGCCAUUUUUCUUAAUCAUUUAAAAUAGGACAGGAGAAGAAAUAUUCAUUUUAUGCAGUUUAGAAGCUUUAGGAAGGUUUUGAAAUAUUCCAAGUUUAGAAGCUUUAGGAAAGUUUUGAAAUAUUCCAAGUAUUAGAAUAUAUUAAACUAUAGGUUUACUUAACUCAAUCUCCACAUAGUGUCAUAGACAUUAUAUCCUUGUCUUCUGUCUUCAAAGCAAGUCUGGUUUUUACAAUGCUCUCAGAAGUCAGAUAUUUUAGUUUCAAGUUGAGAUCAUUUCUUCUUGCAUUUCACUAUGCUCAUCUAAAGCCAUUUACCUAGCAGACUUAACAUUAGUGGUGGGUGUUCUUUGCCUCCCAGCCUUUUCUUCCUUUAUAGCUGAAAAUCAAUAUAAUUCACCUAUUACCUCCCUAAAAUUCUGCCAAGGGAGCAUUCAAGUGAUUUAGUUUUAGAGCUAGAAUGUAGCAUUAUACCCUGUUUGGAGUGUAGCAGGAUCUCUUGCUUUGAUGUUCAGAGCC